rnacentral:misc_RNA from 1 species
GAAAUGCGAUAAGUAAUGUGAAUUGCAGAAUUCAGUGAAUCAUCGAAUCUUUGAACGCACAUUGCGCCCGCCAGUAUUCUGGCGGGCAUGCCUGUCCGAGCGUCAUUUCAACCAUCAAGCCCCCGGGCUUGUGUUGGGGACCUGCGGCUGCCCGCAGGCCCUGAAAACCAGUGGCGGGCUCGCUGUCACACCGAGCGUAGUAGCAAUCACCUCGCUCAGGGCGUGCUGCGGGUUCCGGCCGUUAAACAGCCUUACAAAACCCAAGGUUGACCUCGGAUCAGGUAGGAAGACCCUCUGAACUUAAGC